rnacentral:tRNA from 1 species
CACGGAGUGGAGAAGUUCGGUAUCUCGCUAGGCUCAUAACCUAGAGGCCGUGGGUUCAAAUCCCACCUCCGUAA